CUAAAAUCAUCUCAAAAUUUCUUUAAUGCUGAAUGAAAUGACUUGCUCAAUGAUCUGUUUCGCACUUUUCUAGCUUCUGAAUCAACUAUUCUUUUCUCUUUCCCGAGUUCUUCAGCCUUACAUGCUCGUUCAAUAAGCACAACAAACUCUAUUAUCUCCAAAAUUCUAACUAAGAUGCAAAUAUCUUCAUUUAAGCCGUCUUCAAACCUUUUACACAUUAUUUCUUCCGUCGAGAUACAUUCUCGUGCAUACUGG
rnacentral:lncRNA from 1 species